GGUAAAAUGGCUGAAUUUUAGGCGUUAAAUUGUAAAUUUAUUUAUGACACUGUUCUUUUACUA
rnacentral:tRNA from 1 species